rnacentral:lncRNA from 1 species
UAUUAGAAUUCCAAAGUCCCACAUUGCUUGGGAUAAAGAUCUUUGGGCAAUAUAUAUAGGAUGUGGCAAUCCUUCUCCCUUGAGCUAGCUUUUGGGAUUAGUUAGGCCACAGUACUAAUAUGGUAUCAGAGCCCAUGGUAAGGCCCAACAAGCAAAUUCCCACAAAAAUGGAUUUCCCACCUAUGUGGCCCCAUAUAAGUGGCAUGUCUUGUUGUGGUAUUUCCGAGAUGGUGGGUUCGGACAGUUUCCGUGUUGGACCGUUUCCCACCCACAUCUCGAGAGGGGCUAUUAGAGUUCCAAAGUCCCACAUUGCUUGGGAUAAAGAUCUUUGGACAAUAUAUAUAGGAGGUGGCAAUCCUUCUCCCUUGAGCUAGCUUUUGGGAUUAGUUAG